GACGAACGCUGGCGGCGUGCUUAACACAUGCAAGUUGAACGGGCAUACAUGGAAGCUUGCUGAAGUGUAUGUUAGUAGCGGACGGGUGAGUAAUGCAUGAGAAGCUGCCAUUGGGAGGGGGACAACAGUUGGAAACGGCUGCUAAUACCCCGUAUGCCGAAAGGUAAAAGGGAGCAAUCCGCCUGAUGAGGUGCUCAUGUCCUAUCAGCUGGUUGGUGGGGUAACGGCCUACCAAGGCGACGACGGGUAGCCGGCCUGAGAGGGUGAACGGCCACACUGGAACUGAGAUACGGUCCAGACUCCUACGGGAGGCAGCAGUGGGGAAUAUUGGGCAAUGGGGGAAACCCUGACCCAGCGACGCCGCGUGAGGGAAGACGGCCUUCGGGUUGUAAACCUCUUUUGUACGGGAAGAAGGAAGUGACGGUACUGUACGAAUAAGUCCCGGCUAACUACGUG
rnacentral:rRNA from 1 species